CACUUUUUAGUGGAGGGGCGUCCCUGUCAUUUCAUGCUUUCAGUUUUUACUAUAAAUAGGACCUUAGAUUUUCGUUUUUCUUCACCCAGAAUUAGAAUUCUCUAGGCAUAUAUCAGUUAUAAAGCAGUUGCCAUUCCACAUCGGGGUGCCUCUGCAAUCGAGUGAUCGAGUCUGUAAUCUGUCUGUGGUUCGAGUUUUGGAGCACUCUGGAGGAAGUUAAUCCUGCCGCCAUUUUAAUUCAAGUUCGUAUUUUACUUUUAUUUAUUUCCUGCACUCGCAC
rnacentral:lncRNA from 1 species